rnacentral:rRNA from 1 species
AUACAGAGAGUGCAAGCGUUAAUCGGAAUUACUGGGCGUAAAGGGCGCGCAGGCGGCUUGGGAAGUCUUGGGUGAAAGCCCCCAGCUCAACUGGGGAACGGCCUGAGAAACCACUAGGCUGGAGUGCUGGAGAGGGAAGCGGAAUUCCCGGUGGAGCGGUGAAAUGCGUAGAUAUCGGGAGGAACACCAGAGGCGAAGGCGGCUUCCUGGACAGACACUGACGCUGAGGCGCGAAAGCUAGGGGAGCAAACGGGAUUAGAUACCCGAGUAGUCC